GAAAGAAAAUUUGUGCGAACGAAGGCUACUCACUCACUUUCGUAUAAGAAUGCGUUCCACUAACUUUCGUUCUUUCUUUCGCAUAGCCUUACGUGGUUCAGUGUUGCUAAAUAUUUUUUUGGAAAAAUUAAUCGCGAAAUAAGGCAAAAAAAGCGCCAAAUGUCUAAUUUAAACGCGAAAAAGCAGCAGUGGCUCUGUCUCAACUGACAUUUCAGUUGUAAACAAACAAAUUCCCUAUUUUUUAUGGAUGAUGUGGAGGAGGUUCAAAAUGUGCCACGGAGGCAUUUAAGAGAUGCUUCGAAUUUAUUUGAAGUACCUAACAACCAGUUUGUGGCCAAUUUUCGUGUGUCGAAGGAAGUUUUCGGGCUCUUUUGGAUAUGAUGGAAGAGAAGUGGGUGCCCGGUUGCAGAACUAUCCAAAUCCGCCCCGAUUUAAAACUUCUUCUGCUGCUUCCAAAAAUUGGCACU